rnacentral:rRNA from 1 species
AAAGUUGAAAAGAACUUUGAAGAGAGAGUUCAAGAGUACGUGAAACCGCCCAAGGGGAAACAGAAGGUAAUUGAGUAAACUAGCCCGGGGAAACUCAUCACCGUUCGCUUGCACGCUCGAGCUACCCGACCGCUGCGCGGCCGCAGACUAGCUUUGCUAUCUCGUCGGUCUCCCGCAGAGCCCGGUCGGGCGUAUCAUGCUCUGAGCGGGGGAAACGGAACCCCCGCGAGUCUGUUUGAGGGCGGUGUGCACUUUUCCUUCGCCAUAGUGCGUCGCGAUCCGUCGGUCGGCGGCCAAAGGCCCGGGGUUAUUAUCGGCGCGGCGGGACGUGUCAAGCGUUUCUUCGUGCCGAGUCCCCGGUGUGCGCACGGCGGGCGGCUUCACAGCGCCCGCUGCCCGCUUUCCCGGCCGCCGUGUAAGCCCGCCCUGUAGCGGGGCGGCAGUUACGACGGUCAUGAAAUACGUGGAAGACGUCUCGACCGUCACCUACCCCGUCGCGAGACGGGCGAGGGGGCGGCGGGCCUCUCCGGACCUUGGCUUCGGCCCUUCACAAGCGCGGAACGCGGUGGUUAGCUAGCGCGCGGCGGGCGGCCCGAAGGGGUUUCGUCCUCGCGCGUAUCCCAUCGACACGUUCGCGCGGUGACAGGAGAGGGGGGCUUGAGUGAAUAACUCGUCUCGGAUCAACCGGCGGCGUAAGUCUCAGUCUACUUUCCGACCCGUCUUGAA